rnacentral:rRNA from 1 species
UACAGAGGGUGCAAGCGUUGUUCGGAAUUAUUGGGCGUAAAGCGCGUGUAGGCGGCCUGGCAAGUCGGGUGUGAAAGCCCUCGGCUCAACCGAGGAAGUGCGCCCGAAACUGCUGGGCUUGAGUGCCGGAGAGGGUGGCGGAAUUCCCCAAGUAGAGGUGAAAUUCGUAGAUAUGGGGAGGAACACCGGUGGCGAAGGCGGCCACCUGGACGGCAACUGACGCUGAGACGCGAAAGCGUGGGGAGCAAACAGGAUUAGAAACCCCAGUAGUCC